UACGGGGGGGGCAAGCGUUGUUCGGAAUUACUGGGCGUAAAGGGCUCGUAGGUGGCCAACUAAGUCAGACGUGAAAUCCCUCGGCUUAACCGGGGAACUGCGUCUGAUACUGGAUGGCUUGAGUUCGGGAGAGGGAUGCGGAAUUCCAGGUGUAGCGGUGAAAUGCGUAGAUAUCUGGAGGAACACCGGUGGCGAAGGCGGCAUCCUGGACCGACACUGACACUGAGGAGCGAAAGCCAGGGGAACAAACGGG
rnacentral:rRNA from 1 species